UACGUAGGGGGCAAGCGUUGUCCGGAUUUAUUGGGCGUAAAGAGCGUGUAGGCGGCCUGGAAGGUCAGCUGUGAAAACUCGAGGCUCAACCUCGAGACGUCGGUUGAAACCACCUGGCUAGAGUCCGGAAGAGGAGAGUGGAAUUCCCGGUGUAGCGGUGAAAUGCGCAGAUAUCGGGAAGAACACCCGUGGCGAAGGCGGCUCUCUGGAACGCAACUGACGCUGAGACGGCGAAAAGCGUGGGGAGCAAACAGG
rnacentral:rRNA from 1 species